rnacentral:tRNA from 1 species
UCCAGGGUAGCCUAGUGGACAUGACACCUGCCCGGUAAGCAGAAGGUUGUGGGUUCGAUUCCCGCCGCUGGAC